CGCUCUGCCCAGUCAAUUGAAUUUUUAACGGCCGCUAGUACACUGACUGUGCUAAGGUAGCAUAAUAAAUUGGCUUUUAAUUGGAGUCUGGAAUAAAAGAGUUCAUGGGGGGUACAUGUCUCAUAAUUUUUUACGGGAAAUUACUAAGCAAGUGCAAAUUCUUGCUUUAUCAUUUAAUAGACGAGAAGACCCUAUAAAUUUUUGACAAAUGGUAUUUUUAGUCCUUCGUUUUUGUUGGGGCAACAAGUUGACAGUUGAAAAAAAAUUUAACUCAAUAAAUUUUAAGGAAUUCUUCGAGUUUUACUAAGGAUAAAUAAAUUACUAUAGGGAUAACAGCAUAAUUUUUCAUUUAAGAUUGUGACCUCGAUGUUGGAUUAGGGACUUAUUAAAUAAACCAUUUAAA
rnacentral:rRNA from 1 species